CUACGGAGGGUGCAAGCGUUAAUCGGAAUUACUGGGCGUAAAGCGUACGUAGGCGGUUCGUUAAGUUAGAUGUGAAAGCCCCGGGCUUAACCUGGGGACUGCAUUUAAAACUGGCGAACUAGAGUUGAGUAGAGGGGAGUGGAAUUUCAGGUGUAGCGGUGAAAUGCGUAGAGAUCUGAAGGAACACCAGUGGCGAAGGCGACUCCCUGGACUCGAACUGACGCUGAGGUACGAAAGCGUGGGUAGCAAACGGGAUUAGAUACCCCAGUAGUCC
rnacentral:rRNA from 1 species